rnacentral:rRNA from 1 species
UACGUAGGGUGCAAGCGUUAAUCGGAAUUACUGGGCGUAAAGCGUGCGCAGGCGGCUUUGCAAGACAGAUGUGAAAUCCCCGGGCUCAACCUGGGAACUGCAUUUGUGACUGCAAGGCUAGAGUACGGUAGAGAGGGAUGGAAUUCCGCGUGUAGCAGUGAAAUGCGUAGAUAUGCGGAGGAACACCGAUGGCGAAGGCAAUCCCCUGGACCUGUACUGACGCUCAUGCACGAAAGCGUGGGGAGCAAACAGG